UUUUAACAAUUUUCAAAAUAAAUCCACGCGUAGCGUGGAUACUCAUCUAAAUUAAUAUCAUUUAACAAUUAACAAAAGUUAGUGACGAAAAAUUAAAGUUCUCAUAUUGCAUUAAACCAUCCAUCAAUCCCACUCUUAAUUAACUAUCUUCAAAAUAAA
rnacentral:sRNA from 1 species